rnacentral:rRNA from 1 species
GUCGAGCGGAACGAUGGUAGCUUGCUACCAGGCGUCGAGCGGCGGACGGGUGAGUAAUGCUUAGGAAUCUGCCCAGUAGUGGGGGAUAGCCCGGGGAAACCCGGAUUAAUACCGCAUACGCCCUUUUGGGGAAAGCAGGGGAUCUUCGGACCUUGCGCUAUUGGAUGAGCCUAAGUCGGAUUAGCUAGUUGGUGGGGUAAAGGCUCACCAAGGCGACGAUCCGUAGCUGGUCUGAGAGGAUGAUCAGCCACAUCGGGACUGAGACACGGCCCGAACUCCUACGGGAGGCAGCAGUGGGGAAUAUUGGACAAUGGGGGCAACCCUGAUCCAGCCAUGCCGCGUGUGUGAAGAAGGCUUUCGGGUUGUAAAGCACUUUCAGUGAGGAGGAAGGCCUUAAGAUUAAUACUCUUAAGGAUUGACGUCACUCACAGAAGAAGCACCGGCUAACUCCGUGCCAGCAGCCGCGGUAAUACGGAGGGUGCAAGCGUUAAUCGGAAUUACUGGGCGUAAAGCGCGCGUAGGUGGUUGAGUAAGCGAGAUGUGAAAGCCCCGGGCUUAACCUGGGAACGGCAUUUCGAACUGCUCGACUAGAGUGUGGUAGAGGGUAGUGGAAUUUCCUGUGUA